rnacentral:rRNA from 1 species
UACGUAGGGGGCAAGCGUUGUCCGGAAUCAUUGGGCGUAAAGAGCGUGUAGGCGGCCCGGUCAGUCCGCCGUGAAAGUCCAGGGCUCAACCCUGGAAUGCCGGUGGAUACUGCCGGGCUGGAGUCCGGAAGAGGCGAGUGGAAUUCCUGGUGUAGCGGUGAAAUGCGCAGAUAUCAGGAGGAACACCAAUGGCGAAGGCAGCUUGCUGGGACGGUACUGACGCUGAGACGCGAAAGCGUGGGGAGCAAACAGG